UACUGUCACAUUUAGCCAGUGCAGUUGGACAAGACUAAGAAACUAGAUGUGUGAAUAUAAUUUAGAGGAAGAGGAAAAACUAUUUCUACUUGCAAAGUAGAACAUGUGAUACCCAGGAGGUCACAGUGUGGUAGGCUAAAUUAUGACCCCCAUAUAGGUCCACAGCCUGAUCAUUGGAAUGUCUGAAUAUGGGACCUUUGCCUGGCAAAAGAACUUUGCAGAUGUAAUUGAAUUAAGGCUUUUGGGAUGAGGAGAUCAUCUUAGAUAAUCUGGAUGUGUUUCCUGUAAUCACAAGGCUCCUUAUCAGAGGGACGCAGGAAGAGUCCGUCAGAUAGAAGGUGAUAUAACAAGGAAGCAGAAGGCUAGAGAGAAAGAAAUUUGAAGAUGCUUUACUGCUGGCUUGAAGAUGGACAAAGGGAGCAAUGAGCCAAAGGACAAGCAAGGCCUGUAGAAGCUAAAAUAGCAAACAGAGGGGCACCUGAAAGUGUUAGACCAGAAGAUACCACUGAGGAAGGAAUGUUUAAAGUGGAAUGAUACAUUUCCAACAGAACAUAAACAACAAAAUACUUAAUAUGCAGUCCAGACUGAAAUGUGUAAUGAAAAUAGUUGGAUAUUAAAGAAUUCAAGAGUGAGAGGCAUCAGCAAGGAGGACCUCCUCCUUAUUAUUGAGAUUUUCCUGACAUCAAUGUAUCCUUUUGAGUAUAUUAUCGUAUCUCUUAACAUUUCUGUUUCAUCCUUGACCUGAGACUUUUUUUUUUUUUUUUAAUCUUGAGAUAAUUCUUGGCUUUGUCAAGGCUACUGGUGACAAAAGCAUUAGCAAGCAGGUGCAGAGUGCUUUUUCCACCAAAGAAGAGACAUUGUACUCUUUUUGGGGUUAUAUUAAUGACUAAUUCACCUCUCUGUCCUCCUCAAUGCCAUCUGUCUUUUGUUUGGUCUCCCUGAUGUUAGUCACGAAGUCUGCUUAGAAGGAUUUAUGUCUUACUUUGAUAUAGGUUCUAUACUCAAUGCUAGGGAACAAUCAUUGGCAAGAUGUGUCUCCUUUACUCAAAGAGGUUUUAAUGGUCUAUGUUUGGAAAAGAGACAUACAGUCAUUAGAAUGCAAUAUUGUGAAAGUUGACAAGGGAAAUUCUUGGGGUUAUGGGAAUCUUCAAUAUCUUUAUUGAGAAAUACAGAUAUACACAUUUAUCAAAACUCAUAAAAUGAUGAAUUUGUAGUAUUUUAUUGUGUAUAAAUUAUGCCUCAAUAAAAGUUCAUUGUAAUGUGCUGAAAGAAUAAAUGAUAAAGAAG
rnacentral:lncRNA from 1 species